rnacentral:rRNA from 1 species
CCCUUAGAUGUUCUGGGCCGCACGCGCGCUACACUGAUGCAUUCAACGAGCCUAUCCUUGACCGACAGGUCCGGGUAAUCUUUGAAUCUGCAUCGUGACGGGGAUAGAUUAUUGCAAUUAUUAAUCUUCAACGAGGAAUGCCUAGUAGGCGCAAGUCAUCAGCUUGCGUCGAUUACGUCCCUGCCCUUUGUACACACCGCCCGUCGCUCCUACCGAUUGGGUGUGCUGGUGAAAUGUUCGGAUCGGCCGUUUGUCGCGGUUUCCGAGUCAUGUGGCUGAGAAGUUCAUUAAACCCUCCCACCUAGAGGAAGGAGAAGUCGUAACA